UAGCCGUAAACGAAUACUCGCUAGGUGUCGGCCACGGUGCGACCGUUGUCGGUGCCGUAGGGAAGCCGUGAAGCGAGCCACCUGGGAAGUACGGCCGCAAGGCUGAAACUUAAAGGAAUUGGCGGGGGAGCACAACAACGGGUGGAGCUUGCGGUUUAAUUGGAUUCAACGCCGGAAAUCUUACCGGGACCGACAGCAACAUGAAGGCCAAGCUGAAGACUUUGCCGGAUUAGCUGAGAGGAGGUGCAUGGCGUAGUCG
rnacentral:rRNA from 1 species